AGGUGUGUCCAUCCAAGCCUAUGAAAUGACUCAUAAACAAUUUUAACUUGAACGUCCCCAGAGCGGUGCUUGGAAACUCGAUCCUACAGCUAAAUCAUUUAACAUCAUGCAGAACUCAUCCUUCCCACUGCAUCAAUCCAUUUUCUCUUGGCAAAGGAGAAAUUGCAAUCUGCCAGCCAGGGAUGCCCAUGUCUUGUGAGCAGCAGAGGGGUUCCCAGGUGGAUCCCCAAAGAUGGAGACAAGUUGUGGGGGGAUAAAAUACAAAGACUACAACUGCUGCAAUAGUUCACAGGUCCAGUUUCAGAACUGAGAGGUUCUGCCCUGCAUUUUGCUAUGGGAUGGAUUCAUCUUGGAGACAGAUAUGAAAAGUUGAGGAGUAGAUGUGCAGGAUCUCCCAUCAGGCCAAAGGCCAUAAAGAUUUCCAUUUGAGAUGGUUUUCAUGCUGACGGAAUGGCCAACAACCCUCAUGGCAUGAUACCCCAAUUUGCCAUAGUCUUCUAACACUUCACCUCUUUUUCUUUUUUUGUUCUCUGCUGCCAUAUCCAAAACACAUCACAGUUCCUAUGUGCCAGCUGAAACCACUCUUUGAUGCUGAUACUUGGUUCGUUUAGGAUGCUCCCAGCUGACUGCCUGUUGGAUUGAGGGACCUGCUGCCUGCACCCUCUGUCCCCACUGGGAAGGCAGAAGGGGGAAUUUUCUCAUACCCUGAUGAAAUCUUGUCUGCAACGCCCAGACCAGAGCUAAUUAUGUAAAAACAAUAAUUAGGACAGAGCUACAGCUAGUUUCUUAAUCUUUCGGAGAAGAUUUGCCCAAUUUGAGCUAUUCUCUCUAACUACUACUUCUGCCCUGAUUAUAGAAAUGGAGUGGGUGGCAAGACACACCAUCCACAGGCAGCAGAGUUGAGAAAUCUGCAGAAAGAUGGAAAAAUAAUAAUCCAACAAGCCUGACAAGCUCCCAGCAUGGCAUUGCCUAUCCUCCUGUACGCACGCUGCCUAUGCAGGGCCAGAGCCAGACUUGCCCACACAGAACAAGAGAGAGUGGGAGAAAAUUGCAGCCUCACUGGAGCAAAAAGGGACUUGAACAUGAAAUUCUGUGUGGUCAGGGAGUCUAAAGGAGUCUCAGCAGCAGAACUUGCAGUGCUGCUGAAUUAACGUGUGGCAUAUUCACAUGCAUACACUGCUGAGGUCAGAUCCCAUCAGGAGGGACGAGGUAGAAUUACUGAUGGAAAUUUCUGAAGAGAGAGUCUCUCGUUUUACAGCUGGGAAAGAGGAGUGAGAAUAAUUCAGGAACACUGGUUUGGGGAGAUAACU
rnacentral:lncRNA from 7 species